rnacentral:ncRNA from 1 species
GUAACUCUGGAGAAUCCCUUUUGGGUGCCGAAGGUGUAAGGCUCGAUUCGCUCGUGCUAAUCUCUCAGGCAAAAGGACAGAGC